GAUGAACGCUAGCUACAGGCUUAACACAUGCAAGUCGAGGGGUAACGAGAGGAAAGCUUGCUUUCCUUGUCGACGACCGGCGCACGGGUGAGUAACGCGUAUCCAACCUGCCCCCAACUAAGGAAUAACCUUGCGAAAGUAAGACUAAUACCUUAUAAUUUCCUCAGAUGUCAUCUGACGAGGACUAAAGAUUUAUCGGUUGUGGAUGGGGAUGCGUCUGAUUAGCUUGUUGGCGGGGUAACGGCCCACCAAGGCAACGAUCAGGUGGGGUGCCGAGAGGAGAUACCACCCCAGUGGGACUGAGACACGGUCCAAACUACUACGGGAGGGAGCAGUGAGGAAUAUUGGUCAAUGACCGGGGGCCUGAACCCGCCAAGUAGCUUUCAGGAUGACGGCCCUAUGAGUUUUAAACUGCUUUUAUACAGGAAUAAAGUUAGCCACGUGUGGUUAUUUGUAGGUACUGUAUGAAUAAGCACCGGCUAAUUCCGUGCCAGCCGCCGCGGUAA
rnacentral:rRNA from 1 species